GUUUUGUUUCUGCGCAGUCGUGUUACCGGUGACACGAGGAAGUGUACCGGUACACUUUGGACUUGUAACAUAUCAGAUUUUGAUAUAAAAGUAAAAAUAUAAAUAAAAAUAGUAUGAGAUACUAUUUUUAUUGGAUUUGGAGAAGAAAAAUAUAAGUCGGGAACGACUCGUGCUGAAAUCGGAACGAAAACAGAAGAUUUAGAAUUUUCUGUGAGAAAUGGAGCUGAUAUUUUAGCAGAAAAUGCAGUGUCAGAAAAUUAUGAAAACUGGAGAAUAUGUCGGAAUUAUUUUUAUGAGGCCAGAUUUAAAAUUUUAUGUAAAUCCGACACCCAAAAGGUGGAAAAUAAAAUCCGACUGCUAUCUGCUAGAGAUUACAGUUCGGUAAAGCUUUCGGUGACCAAAUGUGAUUGAAACAAAAAGAUUAAAAUUUCUUUCGUUAAAUUAAGUAAAACCGAGCCUGAUUGUCAAGUUUGAGCUCAAACGGACAUUCAGAAGGGCA
rnacentral:lncRNA from 1 species